rnacentral:rRNA from 1 species
GACGAACGCUGGCGGCGUGCUUAACACAUGCAAGUCGAACGGAAAGGCCCUGCUUUUGUGGGGUGCUCGAGUGGCGAACGGGUGAGUAACACGUGAGUAACCUGCCCUUGACUUUGGGAUAACUUCAGGAAACUGGGGCUAAUACCGGAUAGGAGCUCCUGCUGCAUGGUGGGGGUUGGAAAGUUUCGGCGGGUGGGGAUGGACUCGCGGCUUAUCAGCUUGUUGGUGGGGUAGUGGCUUACCAAGGCUUUGACGGGUAGCCGGCCUGAGAGGGUGACCGGCCACAUUGGGACUGAGAUCCGGCCCAGACUCCUACGGGAGGCAGCAGUGGGGAAUAUUGCACAAUGGGCGGAAGCCUGAUGCAGCAACGCCGCGUGCGGGAUGACGGCCUUCGGGUUGUAAACCGCUUUCGCCUGUGACGAAGCGUGAGUGACGGUAAUGGGUAAAGAAGCACCGGCUAACUACGUG